rnacentral:rRNA from 1 species
UACAACUUUCAGCAACGGAUCUCUUGGCUCUCGCAUCGAUGAAGAACGCAGCGAAAUGCGAUAAGUAAUGUGAAUUGCAGAAUUCAGUGAAUCAUCGAAUCUUUGAACGCACCUUGCGCUCCUUGGUAUUCCGAGGAGCAUGCCUGUUUGAGUGUCAUUAAAUUCUCAU